rnacentral:rRNA from 1 species
GCAAACGGGUGCGGAACACGUACGCAACCUUCCUUUAAGUGGGGAAUAGCCCAGGGAAACCUUGGAUUAAUACCCCGUAACAUUAUGAGAUGGCAUCAUCUUAUAAUUAUAGCUUCGGCGCUUAAAGAUGGGCGUGCGUCUGAUCAGGUAGUUGGCGGGGUAACGGCCACCAAGCCUUCGAUCAGUAACUGGUGUGAGAGCACGACCAGUCACACGGGCACUGAGACACGGGCCCGACUCCUACGGGAGGCAGCAGUAAGGAAUAUUGGUCAAUGGACGCAAGUCUGAACCAGCCAUGCCGCGUGAAGGAUGAAGGUCCUCUGGAUUGUAAACUUCUUUUAUCUGGGAAGAAACCCAUCUUUUCUAAGGUGGUUGACGGUACCAGUUGAAUAAGCACCGGCUAACUCCGUGCCAGCAGCCGCGGUAAUACGGAGGGUGCAAGCGUUAUCCGGAUUCACUGGGUUUAAAGGGUGCGUAGGCGGGCAGGUAAGUCAGUGGUGAAAUCUCCGGGCUUAACCCGGAAACUGCCGUUGAUACUAUUUGUCUUGAAUAUCGUGGAGGUGAGGCGGGCAUAUGUCCAUGUAGGCGGGUGAAAUU